UACGUAGGGUGCAAGCGUUAAUCGGAAUUACUGGGCGUAAAGCGUGCGCAGGCGGUUUUGUAAGUCUGAUGUGAAAGCCCCGGGCUCAACCUGGGAAUUGCAUUGGAGACUGCAAGGCUUGAAUCUGGCAGAGGGGGGUAGAAUUCCACGUGUAGCAGUGAAAUGCGUAGAGAUGUGGAGGAACACCGAUGGCGAAGGCAGCCCCCUGGGUCAAGAUUGACGCUCAUGCACGAAAGCGUGGGGAGCAAACAGGAUUAGAAACCCUGGUAGU
rnacentral:rRNA from 1 species